rnacentral:tRNA from 1 species
GCCCUAAUAGCUUAUCUCAAAGCACCGACCUUGUAAGCCGGAGAUUGCAGCUUAACCCCCGCUUAGGGCU